rnacentral:misc_RNA from 1 species
AAGGAAAGAACCGAACAGCACAAAAUCUAAAAUAAUGCGCCUUGUGUUUUUCCCUACUACAUAUUUUGAAGAAAAGAUAACUCUACUCUAUAUUGUCGUUCACAACGACACGCGCGAAUGCCCUCUGAUUGGUACCUGCUGGUACUAAUUCCAAUUAAAUUUCCCACAGGAACAAUAAUUUCUCCCAUCUACAAUGCCCGUGAAGAAGAAGAAGUAGAAGAAAGUGUUGGGCCAAGUUGCUAGAAGAGAUGGCCACGCAGAUUAGUUAUUCUAUUUUUCCUGUGCAACUUCUCUGUGCUGCAGUGCUCACCCUUGUCAAGAGUCUCCCAUCGAAAGAUCACAAGUAAUUCAAAGAGCUUAUAAGGGUGAAAGGUAAGCCAUCUAAUUUGUUAGUUUUAAUUUUUUUUGAAUUGUUGGUCCUAAUCUGAGUAAGCUCAUCUCACUUGUUAUGAACUCUUGUCUCUGCCUGCUUAAUUUAAGUUUGUAAUAACCCUUUCCUCCUUUGGUUCGUUUACACAGCAACUAGUAUGCCAUACCUCUUUCCUUUGGUUCAAAUUAAUUAAUUUUGGGUGUUUCUCUUCAAUUGUUCCGUAUGUAGCUGGACUCUUUUUUAUUGCAUGCGAACCAUCCUCGUUUUAACAUUUUCUUUACCUGUAAUUCUCAUGCAAGAGAGUACGACUCAAUUCUGUAUUUUUAUUCAUUUCUUCAUGCUGAUAGAAUAGAAUUUUGUUUCACUAUGAACGCUGAUUUCCA